UGGGGAAUAUUGCACAAUGGGGGGAACCCUGAUGCAGCGACGCCGCGUGAGCGAGGAAGUAUUUCGGUAUGUAAAGCUCUAUCAGCAGGGAUGAAGAAAGACGGUACCUGAGUAAGAAGCCCCGGCUAACUACGUGCCAGCAGCCGCGGUAAUACGUAGGGGGCAAGCGUUAUCCGGAUUUACUGGGUGUAAAGGGAGCGUAGACGGCAAGGCAAGCCAGAAGUGAAAGGGCAGGGCUCAACCCUGUACAUGCUUUUGGAACUGUGGUGCUAGAGUGCAGGAGAGGUAAGUGGAAUUCCUAGUGUAGCGGUGAAAUGCGUAGAUAUUAGGAGGAACACCAGUGGCGAAGGCGGCUUACUGGACUGUAACUGACGUUGAGGCUCGAAAGCGUGGGGAGCAAACAGG
rnacentral:rRNA from 1 species